rnacentral:rRNA from 1 species
AAUUUUGGACAAUGGGGGAAACCCUGAUCCAGCCAUCCCGCGUGUAUGAUGAAGGUCUUCGGAUUGUAAAGCACUUUAAGUUGGGAGGAAGAGUUGUAGGCUAAUACCUUGCAAUUUUGACGUUACCAACAGAAUAAGCACCGGCUAACUUCGUUCCAGCAGCCGCGGUAAUACGAAGGGUGCAAGCGUUAAUCGUAAUUACUGGGCGUAAAGCGCGCGUAGGGGGUUCGUUAAGUUGGAAGUGAAAGCCCCGGGCUUAAAAUGGGAAUUGCUUUCAAAACUGACGAGCUAGAGUACGGUAGAGGGUAGUGGAAUUUCCUGUGUAGAGGUGAAAUGCGUAGAUAUAGGAAGGAACAUCAGUGGCGAAGGCGACUACCUGGACUGAUACUGACACUGAGGUGCGAAAGAGUGGGGAGCAAACAGG